AGACCCAGACCGGAAGCUCGGGCUACGCUGAGGAAGCCGAGUCCAAGAAGGCGAGGCUUCACGGCCACAGUAACGUCUCCUCUAACGUGGAGCCAGGACGCCCCGCCUUUGGGGAACAGUCGCGCAAGGACUGGACCUCAGGGUAGUGCGGCCGAGCCCCUACCCGCCCCGGAGAACCUCCGGCCCCGCCAGCGCGGCCUGCACACCCGCCUCUGUCCGACGGUGACCCGGGCAGCUCCGUGAACGCGAUGGCCCAGCCAGGUACAGAUACCUCACCGAACCCACCCGGGACGUUUACACUUGCCAGUAACUCUCCCACUGUCACCAAUUCUGAUGAAUAUGAUGGAUAUGGGAAAAAUCCCCCCUCCCUGUCAGCAUCAUUGGAAAUCACCUCUCUGUCUGCACUGAGGAGAGUCCAUUUGAAUGGAAGAUGAACUCUGUCCAGCAUUCCCACAGGAGUGGAGUCCUUCUGCGUGUUAAUUACUUACUGUCUCUGGCAAAAUGACAGGAGCUGACGGAACCUUCAUGGCCCUGCAUCAGGGUCACACAGGCUCCACAGUUUCGAAACUCCCCUGUGUGGACGUUCCAUAUUUUUAAGUUUUUAUCCCAGGAGCUUGUACACAGGAAGUGGCCACUGAAGGUAAAACAGCAGUUUGAGAUUGCAUUGGAAUGCGCCCUGAAACACAGAUGGUGGGGUGCAGACAUUAGUGCUUUGCUCCUGGAGGACCUGAAGACAUACCUAAAGCGGGGGGUAUCGUCUCCUGCGAGCUCAUGGUCGGGGUACACAUGCUAGCACUUUGCCCCAGGAGGACCUGAAGACAACCUAAGCAGGGGUCAGCGUCUCCUGGGAGCUCACAUCCAUCAUGCCUUGGAUCACUGCCUACCAUAGUCCAGAUAUGAAUUGCUCAGACUGUCAUGCUAUUCCAGCAUUUCUCAAAACAUGAUGAGACAGUGUUUUGCUAUGUUACCGAGGCUGCUCUCAAACUCCUG